GCAGGAUUGCAGUCUCAUGAGGAUCUUGCUAAGAAGCUUCAGGAGGAAAUGGAGAAAAAUCGCAAGGCAUCAUCAGGAUCCAAGUCAGAUGGGUCUGGGAGACGGAUGAGAGAAGUUGCCUGUCCUACUUGCACUGUCCAUUUGCAGGUCCAGGUGCCCAGCUCGGGUUCUGAAACUAUUGAGUGUGGAGUCUGUCAACAUCCAUUUCU
rnacentral:misc_RNA from 1 species